UUAGUGUGAUAAAGUAUUUAAUGCUAGGGUUGGAUGACGAGGGUAACAACGUUCUACACGAGGCUGCGCACCUACCACCUCAAUUCCAACUAAACUCUGGUUUAAAUGCAGUCAUUCAAAUGAAAACAGAGCACGCAUGGUUCAAGAAAGUAGAGAAAAGCGUUCCUUUUGAAAUACGGAGCGAAAAAACAAGAAUGGAAAGACUCCAAUUGAGGUAUUUUAUGAUGAGCAUAAGCCGUUAUCGAAAGAGAUCAAAGAAUCCGCCAAAGGAAUAGCAGAAUCUGGGAUGCUUGUGGCAACGCUUGUUGCCACCGUAGCAUUUGCAGCUGCUCUCACCGUUCCAGGUGACAAGAAGAAUCCCUGGUUCAUUGUCUUCAUCGUCACAAAUGCAGUGGCCUUAUUCACUUCUUCUGCCUCCAUACUCUCUUUCUUGUCAAAUUUCACUUCUUCAAGAUUUGCAGAAACUGAAUUUGUUAUAUCACUGCAUCCCAGCUUGACUUUUGGACCUGCAUUCCUAUUUGCCUCAGUUGCUGCUAUGGUUGUGGCUUUCAUUGCAGCCUCCUUUCUCAUAUUUGAUCACACAACAAGUUGGGUUUCGUUUGUGGUGACUCCAAUGGGGGUUUUCCCAUUGCUUGUGUUUCUUCUCUUUCAAUCUAGAUUCUGCGAUGAUUUAUUUUGGUCUAGAUACUAUCGUCCCAAACUUCGGUAACCUGUUUCUUACAACAUCAUUAAGUGUUUUUCCUAUUUUAUGUGUCUUAA